rnacentral:miRNA from 1 species
GUAUGAGUGUGUGUUUGUGAGUGUGUGCACACACUCACGUGCAUGCACAGAGGCCAGAGG